rnacentral:tRNA from 1 species
GCAUCCAUGGCUAAAUGCUUAAAUAGCUCAAUUCAUAAUUGUCGAAUUCGUACGUUCAAUUCCUACUGAAUGCA